CUUUACUAUACGCUGACAUUGAUGCAUUGGUUUGCGUGCGCAGGAUAGGUGGGAGACUUUGAAGCCCUGGCUUUGGCCGGGGUGGAGUCAACCUUGAGAUACCACCCUCGCGUUCCGCUGCAUCUCACUCCGUCUCUGAAACAGAGCGGGGGACAGUGUUUGCUGGGUAGUUUAACUGGGGCGGUUGCCUCCUAAAGUGUAACGGAGGCGCGCAAAGGUAGACUACUACCGGAUGGAAAUCGGUAGCGUCGUGUAAUCGCACAAGUCUGCCUGACUGUGAGGCUUACAGGCCGAGCAGGGACGAAAGUCGGUGAUAGUGAUCCGGCAACCUGAGCACUUUAUAGUGCUCUUACCACGUGGGUGGGUUG
rnacentral:rRNA from 1 species